GGAGGGUCUGGGGGAGGGCGUCUCUCUUGAUUGAUGUAAGAACUAUCUACUGUCUACUGAUGUUUUCCAUUCACUUUCGUUUUAUCCUACCAACUCGUGGAGAGUUGGGUGACUUCUGCCCAAACUGGACACACUUUCAACCAGGAUGAGAAACAGACAAAUGAGAAACCCACGCUGAGGGUUAAGAAGAAACAAUAAAGGAGAGAUAGAAUUCUAUUAGUGAAAACACGUCUGCCUCUCCUGUCUCCUUCAGUAACAUUUUAGGGCUUUGCUCUGUAGGAGGGGUGCACCUUCAGCAGUGGGUGACAACAGAAUUCUGACAUGUGCAGGGCGUCAGAUAUCAGGUCACAGUAAGUAGACGGUGUCUAUUAGCUUCCUGCAUGCAAACUUCCCAAGCAGAGUGGUUUUAAUCCGUUUAUUUGUUUAUUUUUUUGGACUGUUUUUCCGUCCUCAAAUCUAUUCAUUGAUGGGAUUGAGAGAUGUGAAGUGUCCACUCUGGCUUGUGAACUAUUGGCACUGUCUCUUUUUAAAUGUGGAACUGGAAUUUCCACAUUUAAAAAACUGGAAUAUUUUGGUAAUGAAUUCUAAGUCUCACUUUUCUUCAGAAAUCUUGAAGCAUUCCUUAGCUAAGCCCUCACCCUCACCACACUCCAACCGUCACCCCCAGCUCUCAGUGCUAAAUCCCUCCCCAGCCCACGUGUGUGCUGUGCUCCCAGGCAGUGCUCCCUGAGCCUGGGCCUGUUCUUGUAGCUCUUCUCUUGGUUUCUUCCCCUCCCACCCACUUCCCACUCAGCCCUUCAGAUGAUAGUCUCACUCUGCUUGAAAGCUCCCAGUGGAUCCUCAUGGGUUACUGCAGAACUGUGUGUUAAGACACACAAUGAAACUGGAUGUGGUGGGGCACGCCUUUGAUCCCAGACCUGGGGUCAGAGGCAGGCGGAUCUCUGUGAGUUCGAGGCCACCCUGGUCUACAGAGUGAGUUCCAGGACAGCCAGGGCUGUUACACAGAGAAACCAUGUCUGGAAAAACCAAAACCAAAACCCCACAAAACCCACUCACAAUGAGUUGUGAGGAGCACAGACAUUGAUUGUCACAGGUUUGAGGAAGCAAGCUCAAGCUUCAGCCUUGCCCACUUGUCCCAGCCUGCUAUGUACAGGUCAUCUCCUUUCUAUCUGAAAAACAAAACAAAAAAAAAAAAAAACAAAAAAAACAAAAAAAGCAAAAACAAACAAAAACAAGACGCUCUGAGCACAUCUAGUUGGGAAGACCCUUCUGCCCCCAGAGCCUCUCCUGCCACUUCUCACCCUACAGGCCUCCUGUCCAGCUGUGUAAGUCUCUAGCUUUCCCAGCAGAAGUCCACAGUUUCACAAUGUCAUGGCACUGAACCAGUCCAGAUGAGAACUUCAUUCUCUCCCAGUUUGGCGAAUGUCUGCUUAGUAUCUGAGACUCUGCUCAACAGCCUCCUCUUUCACGCUCUCCCUUACCUCUAACCAACAGGAUGAGUCACACUCUUCGCUGUUCCAUCACCAGCUGGCAGGGGGAACUUGUGAAAGUUACGAGAACUCCGAGUCGUAAUUUCCUCAUUUGAAAGAUGGAGAUAAUAAUACCUGCCUUGCAGGGUUAGCAUCAAGAUUAAAUACGGUAACACAUGGAAACCACUGAACACAGAGCUUUGGAAUUGAGUAAGCACUUGGACUGCGGACUUUCAUUAUCUACAAACAUCUGUAUUUUCUUCACGAAAGGCAAAGCUAAAAAACAUUCCAGUUACUAAGACACACAGAUGCCUGGAGGGGAAGGUGCUAUGUGACAUUCAUGAAGAAAUCCCUCUUUGGCAAGCUGAUUGACUCUCGGUCCUCAUAUCUUGUGCCUUGUACUUGCCUAUUACAAAUGCUGUUUGAAGUUUUCCUGUUGGUUCCUGGAUGGUUCUAGGGAGAAGGGGAGAGACUCUUCUUGAUCUGGACUGGAACAGCUAAGCCAGGAAGCCACAGGUGAUGAUGAUGGCAGAGAUGACUGAGGCCCAGAGUCCUUUGUGCGGGAUGGCUGCUGGGAUAUGUUGUAUACAUGGGCAAGUUCA